rnacentral:rRNA from 1 species
CACGUAGGAGGCGAGCGUUAUCCGGAUUUACUGGGCGUAAAGCGCGUGCAGGCGGUUCGGUAAGUUGGAUGUGAAAGCUCUUGGCUCAACUGAGAGAGGUCAUUCAAUACUGCCGGACUAGAGGAUGGUAGAGGGAGGUGGAAUUCCGAGUGUAGUGGUGAAAUGCGUAGAUAUUCGGAGGAACACCAGUGGCGAAAGCGGCCUCCUGGACCAUUUCUGACGCUCAGACGCGAAAGCUAGGGGAG